UAUUGUAUCACGGGACACGCAUGGCUACACUCUGGUCUUAGAGCGUUGGUGCGGACUUUCGCUCGGUGCUCUAUGCACCUGUUUCUCCCGCCUGCUCAAACUUCUUUCCUAUUUAUGAAGAGGGGGGCGUCCCCAUCUCCCGGAAGCAAGGAGAUGCGAGAGGACGGCGCCAGUUUAGGUGCAGCUAAAGAACCAGAGAAGUUGGUAGGGAAAUGGAAAGACAAAAGUUCUGAUGAUUUGCCCUUAAUUUCACCAAGUUAAGUCAACUUCAAGAGUCCUCUUGUCAGAAAGUCUAACACGGAUCGGUGGGGUCUUGCUCCAUGCAUUUACUCAAGGAACCUGGCUUCUUCUGCCUAGUGCUCUACCACCUUCAAGGCAGAAAAACCUUCUCUCUUAUGCGAUGACCUACAACAAGUUGAUAAAGUAUGCCUUUGUAAACAAAGACGAAACAUUUAUCUUUUUCUCUCUACCUGAUCCUGCCAGAAUUUGUUGUCUCCAGCUGGCUCUCCUGUGGAUUUGAUAUUUAUGUCAAUCAUUGUUUUAAUUUGUGCUUUAUUUCCAAAUUGUUUGUGCUUUGUGUCUCCCUGCUGCACUAUGUCAAUGUUACUAGGUGCAUUACUUAUAUCCUGUUUUAUAAAAUUGUUGCCUCUUGCAGUACCCAGUGUGUAACCAGGCCUCCAACAAAACUCCUGUGGCUAAACAUCUUAAGGAAAUAGAUCACUUUUAUAACAUACAAUAAUUGUAAUAAUAUGAUCUAGGUAUGGGAAGAAGCAGCAAAGGAAAAUGUCUCCUGGAUCAUAAUUAGAAGAUCCAGAGAACCUUUAAUUAUCAAUAGGGCCUAAUCCAAAAAAUAGCACCUGGAGUGGCACAUCAAGAAUCUUUGCCUGACCUGGGAUGAGCCUUCCAGCACCGUGGGACAAAAUUUGAUCGUGAAACGUCUCCCAAAUAUUGGUUAGAUUCCUGACCAGGAGGAGAAGAUCAGUCAUCUGCAAUUGCAGCCCUCCAACGUGAGCUAAUAAACCCUGAGGAAAUUCAGGAAGGUGAAGAAUACCUGCCAUCUAGCAGCCAUCAGACUGCAGCCACUCCCUGUGGUGAGCCCUGAGGACACUCAGGAUGUGAAAAUACAGGAUACAGGCCCCAG